UGUAUUUCUAUCUCUGAGUGUAGUGAAUAUUUGGUGACAAGUGUUGCUGACAGCUUUGAGGUGUUAUGGCCUUAGAGGGAGAAGUAGUUCUGAGCAAAUGCUUAAUCCAUAGACUAGAUUUGUCUUGUCUGAUAACUGGAAGUGGAGGGGUUUUAUAAGAAAAGUGCUAUGAGUUUGAAAGCCCUGAGGAGCCAAAGGGUGGCAGGAUGUUAUUUCUGUGAGCCUUGGUGGUUCUGUCCCUGACUCUAAGGAUUUUACAAUUUGCUAGUUUCUUAAAUAUUGCUUUAAUGAGGUUAACUUUUUGUCUUAUGUGCAGUAUGGUUAUGCUGUAAUUACUAAGUCUUAGGUUUUGUUUCUGUCCAGAGAUGAAAGGAGAAGGUUUCGCUGGUACUUUGACCACUUAGAGGAGGAUCACAAAACUGCCAAAACUGGAUUCUGGCCAUACUGCAUUUAUUUUUGCUGAAAAAAUUAUUUCCCACCAUUAUGGUCUCUGAAUUGCCCAGUCAGAGAAAUCCUUUUAGCUGUGUUUUACCAAACAUGUGGUGGAUACUGAAACCUUCAGCCAAGAGAGCCUGGCCUUUGUGGCCAUGUACGUACAUACACAGGUCUCAGCCACUCUCUGCUGAGUACAAUACCAUAAACCCACAAAACUUUCAGUUUCCAAGGAAACAGAAAGCUCCACUUUUUGACAAAUGCACACAAUUUAUUUCUCAUUUCUACUACCACACUACUUUCUAUUUUCCCCAGCUAUAAGAAUAUGUGUUUUCUAACACAAAAUGAAAUGGGGAGCUGGCGGUUGCUGUAGGACAGAGCUUUUUCCAGGAUCCCCAUGGUUUCACCCUAACAGCACAUGGCACUCAUUCAUAUACCUCCCCAGAAAAAGCGCUUGAUGAGUGAGGUUCAAAGGUGACCUCCAGAGGAAGUCUCCUAGCUUGGUGGCCCCCUGACCUUGGGCCACAUAUUUAAGGGUGUGCAGAUAAGCACUCACGGAGAUUUUCAAAAGCUCUUAGGCACCUCUUUCACCUUGGAAACAACUUAUUACCACAGCUGCAGCCUGUCAAAUACCUCCUGCUAAUUAAAAAGUAUGUCCCAGAGAAGAGCUGUCCUUCAUGUUGUGAAGAGACCUGCUGACAUGCUGAUGUUGCUGUAGUCUUAUUAUUCCUCUGGGAAAAUUACCCAGAGCCUUAAAGCACUGACCUUGAGAACCCAGUGAGGUACCCAACCUGGCCCCCAACAAGCUGUACAAUGUGGUGAAAAACACCCAGGAGCAGAAAUCCCACCAAGCUAACCCUCUGAGUGGGCUCAUAGACCCUGUGUUCAGCACACAAAAGCUGGCAAAGGCCUCAGCAGAGAAAAAAGUGUCUGCCUGUGAAGCUCCACUGAUGAUCACCACAGUGGCAGUGCCAAGCUGGAUACAGUUGGCUACUUAUGUGUUAACCACAAAGUCAUCUAAAUAUUACUCUGAGCUACUCGACAUCCAGGAGAGGUUCUUCAGAUCUGCUCACAGCCAUGCAGGUGCAUAAGGCAGCUAACUAUUACCAUCUGGUCUCUGGAACUAAGUUUGCAGAAGGAGCCAGAAAACAGACACCUGUUUGGCAUACCAUCUCACAAUAAAUCAUUGCCAAAU